rnacentral:rRNA from 1 species
CCUACGGGAGGCAGCAGUGGGGAAUUUUGGACAAUGGGGGCAACCCUGAUCCAGCCAUUCCGCGUGGGUGAAGAAGGCCUUCGGGUUGUAAAGCCCUUUCGGCCGGAGCGAAACGGCAGGCGCUAACAUCGCCUGCUAAUGACGGUACCGGCAGAAGAAGCACCGGCUAACUACGUGCCAGCAGCCGCGGUAAUACGUAGGGUGCGAGCGUUAAUCGGAGUUACUGGGCGUAAAGCGUGCGCAGGCGGCUUUAUAAGACAGAUGUGAAAUCCCCGGGCUUAACCUGGGAACUGCAUUUGUGACUGUAAGGCUAGAGUGCGUCAGAGGGGGGUGGAAUUCCACGUGUAGCAGUGAAAUGCGUAGAGAUGUGGAGGAACACCGAUGGCGAAGGCAGCCCCCUGGGAUGACACUGACGCUCAUGCACGAAAGCGUGGGGAGCAAACAGGAUUAGAUACCCUGGUAGUCCACGCCCUAAACGAUGUCAACUGGUUGUUGGGGGAGUGAAAUCCUUCAGUAACGAAGCUAACGCGUGAAGUUGACCGCCUGGGGAGUACGGUCGCAAGAUUAAAACUCAAAGGAAUUGACGG